CCUACGGGAGGCAGCAGUGGGGAAUAUUGCGCAAUGGGCGAAAGCCUGACGCAGCAACGCCGCGUGGAGGAUGAAGGUUUUAGGAUUGUAAACCCCUUUUGUCAGAGAAGAACAUGACGGUAUCUAACCAAGAAUCACUGGCCAAUACCUUCCCAGCAGCCGCCGUAAUACGGCGGGCGCAAGGGUUACUCGGAAUCACUGGGCGUAAAGAGUGCGUAGGCGGGGUAAUAAGUCAGGGGUGAAAGCCUGAAGCUUAACUAAAGAACUGCAUUUGAAACUGGUACUCUGGAGUGUGGGAGAGGUAAGUGGAAUUCUUGGUGUAGGGGUGAAAUCCGUAGAGAUCGAGAGGAAUACUCAUUGCGAAGGCGACCUGCUGGAACAUUACUGACGCUGAGGCACGAAAGCGUGGGGAGCAAACAGGAUUAGAUACCCGGGUAGUC
rnacentral:rRNA from 1 species